rnacentral:rRNA from 1 species
AGGGUUUACUUAGUACGGCGAGUGAGCGGUAAAAGCUCAAAUUUGAAAUCCCCCCGGGGAGUUGUAAUUUGAAGGUUUAACUUUUAGGACCAGCGCAAAGUCCAUUGGAACAUGGCGCCACAGAGGGUGAGAGCCCCGUAGGCAACGGUCCGCCUAUAAAGUUAUUCCAAAGAGUCGAGUUGUUUGGGAAUGCAGCUCUAAGUGGGUGGUAAAUUCCAUCUAAAGCUAAAUAUUGGCGAGAGACCGAUAGCGAACAAGUACAGUGAUGGAAAGAUGAAAAGCACUUUGAAAAGAGAGUGAAACAGUACGUGAAAUUGUUGAAAGGGAAGGGCUUGCAAGCAGACACGAUUCUCUCGGGAAUUGGGCCAGCAUCGGUUGCCGGGGGUAGAAAAAAACGCAGAAAUGUGGCACUGGGCUUCGGCCCGGUGUGUUAUAGUCUGACGUUAAUAUACCCACUGGCGACCGAGGCCUGCGUUCUAAACAAGGAUGCUGGCGUAAUGGUUGCAAGUCGCCCGUCUUGACCCCCGGGGUUUCCCUGGCUUUUUUUUUUUGGGCCGGGCCCCCCCUUUUUUUUUUUAAAGACAGAAAAAAAGGU